rnacentral:rRNA from 1 species
GACGUGCUUGCACUGAAUGAGAUUUUAACACGAAGUGAGUGGCGGACGGGUGAGUAACACGUGGGUAACCUGCCCAGAAGCAGGGGAUAACACCUGGAAACAGAUGCUAAUACCGUAUAACAGAGAAAACCGCCUGGUUUUCUUUUAAAAGAUGGCUCUGCUAUCACUUCUGGAUGGACCCGCGGCGCAUUAGCUAGUUGGUGAGGUAACGGCUCACCAAGGCGAUGAUGCGUAGCCGACCUGAGAGGGUAAUCGGCCACAUUGGGACUGAGACACGGCCCAGACUCCUACGGGAGGCAGCAGUAGGGAAUCUUCCACAAUGGACGCAAGUCUGAUGGAGCAACGCCGCGUGAGUGAAGAAGGGUUUCGGCUCGUAAAGCUCUGUUGUUAAAGAAGAACGUGGGUGAGAGUAACUGUUCACCCAGUGACGGUAUUUAACCAGAAAGCCACGGCUAACUACGUGCCAGCAGCCGCGGUAAUACGUAGGUGGCAAGCGUUAUCCGGAUUUAUUGGGCGUAAAGCGAGCGCAGGCGGUCUUUUAAGUCUAAUGUGAAAGCCUUCGGCUCAACCGAAGAAGUGCAUUGGAAACUGGGAGACUUGAGUGCAGAAGAGGACAGUGGAACUCCAUGUGUAGCGGUGAAAUGCGUAGAUAUAUGGAAGAACACCAGUGGCGAAGGCGGCUGUCUGGUCUGUAACUGACGCUGAGGCUCGAAAGCAUGGGUAGCGAACAGGAUUAGAUACCCUGGUAGUCCAUGAUGCCGUAAACGAUGAUUACUAAGUGUUGGAGGGUUUCCGCCCUUCAGUGCUGCAGCUAACGCAUUAAGUAAUCCGCCUGGGGAGUACGACCGCAAGGUUGAAACUCAAAAGAAUUGACGGGGGCCCGCACAAGCGGUGGAGCAUGUGGUUUAAUUCGAAGCUACGCGAAGAACCUUACCAGGUCUUGACAUCUUCUGCCAACCUAAGAGAUUAGGCGUUCCCUUCGGGGACAGAAUGACAGGUGGUGCAUGGUUGUCGUCAGCUCGUGUCGUGAGAUGUUGGGUUAAGUCCCGCAACGAGCGCAACCCUUAUUACUAGUUGCCAGCAUUCAGUUGGGCACUCUAGUGAGACUGCCGGUGACAAACCGGAGGAAGGUGGGGACGACGUCAAAUCAUCAUGCCCCUUAUGACCUGGGCUACACACGUGCUACAAUGGAUGGUACAACGAGUUGCGAAACCGCGAGGUUUAGCUAAUCUCUUAAAACCAUUCUCAGUUCGGACUGUAGGCUGCAACUCGCCUACACGAAGUCGGAAUCGCUAGUAAUCGCGGAUCAGCAUGCCGCGGUGAAUACGUUCCCGGGCCUUGUACACACCGCCCGUCACACCAUGAGAGUUUGUAACACCCAAAGCCGGUGGGGUAACCUUUUAGGAGCUAGCCGUCUAAGGUGGACAGAUGAU